CCCUUAGAUGUUCUGGGCUGCACGCGUGCUACACUGAUAUUGCCAAUAUGUCAUUCUUAUCCGAAAUGGAUUGGGUAAUCAAGUAAUGAAAUUUCAUGCUUGGAAUCGGUAAUUGCAAUUUUAUCGUGAACGAGGAAUUCCCAGUAAGCGCGAGUCAUAAGCUCGCGUUGAUUACGUCCCUGCCCUUUGUACACACCGCCCGUCGCUACUACCGAUUGAACGGUUUAGUGAGGGCCUCGGAUUGGUCUCGGCCCGCUCUUUACCGGGCGGCGCCGUUGGUCGAGAAGACGCUCGAACUUGAUCGUUUAGAGGAAGUAAAAGUCGUAACA
rnacentral:rRNA from 1 species